ACCCCUACGGGAGGCAGCAGUGGGGAAUCUUUGACAAUGGGCGCAAGCCUGAUCAAGCGAUGCCGCGUGAGUGAGGAAGGACUUAGGUUCGUAAAGCUCUUUCGCCUGUGAUGAUAAUGACAGUAGCAGGUAAAGAAACCCCGGCUAACUCCGUGCCAGCAGCCGCGGUAA
rnacentral:rRNA from 1 species